rnacentral:lncRNA from 1 species
UGGGGACAGGCCCAGAAAGAGGAGCCUUGCUCCCAGAGCUGGACGGUGGUGAUAUGGAGCUUGGGAAGCCGGUGGAAUUUUAAAAGAAGGGAACAGAACUUUAAAAAUGGAAAACGAUCGAAAUCAGAAACUCAAUGGCUAGGUUCCUUCAUAGAAUAGACGACACCUGAGGAGAGAAUCGGGGGCCUGAAAGAUGUGAGGACUCCACCCAGAGACGGAAUGAAUGAAAGAGAGGUCAAGAAACUGGCUGGAGGGAGAGACACAGAGACGCGGUGCUGGUUCCUGAGGAGUUGAGGGAGGGGAGCAGCGUUCAGAGAGAACGACAGAACGUUUUCAAAGGGGAGAGGGCAAAGCUCAAGAUUCAGGGAGCCAAAAACCUCCAAAGAGAAUGAAAAGAAAACCCCCAUUUGCAGCCAUCGGCAUGGGACGCUGUUCAUAAGGACACGGUUCCUUCCCUGCUCGAACGCCAACACAGUGAUGAAGGGGCCUGAGGAAGGCUUUGGAGGAGCUGUGGGGUGCAGGGUUGGGGGAGGUGCAGUUGUUGCCAAACCAGGCUCACUUUGCCCGCCACGGAGGAUGCCAAUCCCUGAAGCCAGGAGUUUUAUGGAAAAGCAGAGUCGGGAGGCAGCCAAGCAUGUGGAGACGGGGACGGGAUCUCACUCUGGCUGCCCAAGGCUGGGGCGGGGGAUCUUCAUGGGCUGAAGCAUGGGGAAAGUGACUCGAGGUUAAUCAAGAACAGGUAAAGCAGCUAGAGGGGAUCAACUGUCACCAUCCUGACCCACACAUCUGCAGUCAACUCAAAGCAAGUAACUUAGAGCAGGUGACAUCUAGAGAGUUUAUUCAGGUUUUCUCUCAACUCAGUUUCCAAGCCCAGUAAUGGUAGUGGGGGGGAAACAGAAGAAAAAAAGAAAACCUUGAUCACUUCUUAAAAAUGCCAAAAAAAAAAAAAAGAAAUUUGACCACUGGCAAGCACAAUAAAAUAAAAGAGUCGAAUCUGCCCUGGGUGGUGCGUGCCUGUGAUCCUAGUGACUCAGGAGGCUGAGGUAGGCGGUUGCAAGUUCAAGGUCAACCUCAGCAACUUAGGCCCUGGCUUAAAAUAAUAAAAAGG